CCGGCUAACUACGUGCCAGCAGCCGCGGUUAUACGUAGGGUGCGAGCGUUAAUCGGAAUGACUGGGCGUAAAGGGUGCGUAGGCGGUUUGUCAAGACGGAUGUGAAAUCCCCGGGCUUAACCUGGGAACAGCAUACGUGACUGGCAGGCUAGAGUAUGGCAGAGGGAGGUGGAAUUCCACGUGUAGCAGUGAAAUGCGUAGAGAUGUGGAGGAACACCGAUGGCGAAGGCAGCCUCCUGGGCCAAUACUGACGCUGAGGCACGAAAGCGUGGGGAGCAAACAGGAUUAGAUACCCUGGUAGUCCACGCCCUAAACGAUGUCAACUAGUUGUUGGGGAUUGCUAUCCUUAGUAACGAAGCUAACGCAUGAAGUUGACCGCCUGGGGAGUACGGUCGCAAGAUUAAAACUUAAAGGAAUUGACGGGGACCCGCACAAGCGGUGGAUGAUGUGGAUUAAUUCGAUGCAACGCGAAAAACCUUACCUACCCUUGACAUGGUCGGAAGUCUGAAGAGAUUUGGGCGUGCUCGCAAGAGAACCGGCGCACAGGUGCUGCAUGGCUAUCGUCAGCUCGUGUCGUGAGAUGUUGGGUUAAGUCCCGCAACGAGCGCAACCCUUAUCCUUAGUUGCUACGCAAGGGCACUCUAAGGAGACUGCCAGUGACAAACUGGAGGAAGGUGGGGAUGACGUUAAGUCCUCAUGGCCCUUACGGGUAGGGCUUCACACGUCAUACAAUGGUCUGUACAGAGGGUGCCAACCCGCGAGGGGGAGCCAAUCCUGAAAAACGGAUCGUAGUCCGGAUUGCAGUCUGCAACUCGACUGCAUGAAGCUGGAAUCGCUAGUAAUCGCGGAUCAGCAUGCCGCGGUGAAUACGUUCCCGGGUCUUGUACACACCGCCCGUCACACCAU
rnacentral:rRNA from 1 species